AUUGAACGCUGGCGGCAUGCCUUACACAUGCAAGUCGAACGGCAGCACGGGGCAACCUGGUGGCGAGUGGCGAACGGGUGAGUAAUGCAUCGGAACGUACCUUUCAGUGGGGGAUAACGUAGCGAAAGUUACGCUAAUACCGCAUAUUCUGUGAGCAGGAAAGCAGGGGAUCGCAAGACCUUGCGCUGAUUGAGCGGCCGAUGUCAGAUUAGCUAGUUGGUGAGGUAAAGGCUCACCAAGGCGACGAUCUGUAGCGGGUCUGAGAGGAAGAUCCGCCAAACUGGAACUGAGACACGGUCCGGACUCCUACGGGAGGCAGCAGUGGGGAAUUUUGGACAAUGGGGGCAACCCUGAUCCAGCCAUGCCGCGUGAGUGAAGAAGGCCUUCGGGUUGUAAAGCUCUUUCGGCCGGGAAGAAAUCGCACGGGCUAAUACCCUGUGUGGAUGACGGUACCGGAAUAAGAAGCACCGGCUAACUACGUGCCAGCCGCCGCCGUAACAC
rnacentral:rRNA from 1 species